GUCAGUUUGGCCGAGUGGUUAAGGCGAUUGACUAGAAAUCAAUUCCGUUCGCGGGCAGAGGUUCGAAUCCUCUAGCUGACG
rfam:Penicillium arizonense strain CBS 141311 PENARI_contig002, whole genome shotgun sequence.